CCUACGGGAGGCAGCAGUGAGGAAUAUUGGUCAAUGGGCGAGAGCCUGAACCAGCCAAGUCGCGUGAAGGAUGAAUGAUCUAUGGUUUGUAAACUUCUUUUAUAUGGGAAUAAAGUGAGGAACGUGUUCCUUUUUGUAUGUACCAUAUGAAUAAGCAUCGGCUAACUCCGUGCCAGCAGCCGCGGUAAUACGGAGGAUGCGAGCGUUAUCCGGAUUUAUUGGGUUUAAAGGGUGCGUAGGUGGUUAAUUAAGUCAGCGGUGAAAGUUUGUGGCUCAACCAUAAAAUUGCCGUUGAAACUGGUAGACUUGAGUAUAUUUGAGGUAGGCGGAAUGCGUGGUGUAGCGGUGAAAUGCAUAGAUAUCACGCAGAACUCCGAUUGCGAAGGCAGCUUACUAAACUAUAACUGACACUGAAGCACGAAAGCGUGGGGAUCAAACAGGAUUAGAUACCCUAGUAGUC
rnacentral:rRNA from 1 species